ensembl:lncRNA
ACUAAAUCAGGACUAAAUCAGGACUAAAACAGGACUAAACCAGGACUAAACCAGGACUAAACCAGGACUAAACCAGGUCUAAACCAGGACUAAACCAGGACUAAACCAGGUCUAAACCAGGACUAAACCAGGUCUAAACCAGGUCUAAACCAGGACUAAACCAGGACUAAACCAGGACUAAACCAGGACUAAACCAGGACUAAACCAGGACUAAACAAGGUCUAAACCAGGACUAAACCAGGACUAAACCAGGACUAAACCAGGACUAAACCAGGUCUAAACCAGGACUAAACCAGGUCUAAACCAGGACUAAACCAGGUCUAAACCAGGACUAAACCAGGUCUAAACAAGGACUAAACCAGGACUAAACCAGGACUAAACCAGGACUAAUCCAGGACUAAACCAGGACUAAACAAGGUCUAAACCAGGACUAAACCAGGACUAAACCAGGACUAAACCAGGACUAAACCAGGUUUAAACCAGGACUAAACCAGGUCUAAACCAGGACUAAACCAGGACCAAACCAGGACCAAACCAGGACUAAACCAGGACUAAACCAGGACUAAACCAGGAC